AUGGACUUUAAGUAAUCUUUAAUAAUUAUAAUCAAACUUUAACCAAUUCAAAAUAAAUUUAAAAGAAGUUACAAAAGAAACACAAAGAAGUCGUAAAUUAAUCUCAAAGAAAAAUAAUAAAUAAUCCUAAAGAAAUAUUAAAAAGAGAAAUCCUAAAUAAAUCCUAAUCAAAUCUUAAUUUAAUCCUACUUGAAAUCCUAAUGAAUCUUAAUCAAAUCCUAAAUCAAAUCUUAAUUUAAAUCCUAAUGAAAUCCUAAAUCUUAAAUCAAUUCUAAUAAAUCCUAAUCAAAUCCUAAUCAAAUCCUAAUCAAAUCCUAGAAAAAUCUUAGACAAAUUCUAAUAAAAUCUAAAUCAAAUUCCAAUCAAAUCUUAGUCAAAUCUUAGUCAAAUCCUAAUUAAAUUCUAAUCAAAUCUUAAUCAAAUUCUAAUCAAAUCUUAGUCAAAUCUUAAUUAAAUUCAAAUAAAAUCCUAAAUCUUAAUCGAAUCAUAAUCAAAUCUUAGAUCAUAAAUCAAUCCUAAUAAAUCCUUAAUCAACUCCUAAAUCUUAAAUAAUUCUUGAUAAAGUUUGUAGCAGAUUAAAAAUUCAGUAACUAAUGAUUGAAACAUUGAUUUUGACUCAAAAUUUGCAUACCUUGCAACAACUAAGUAAGCAACAAGAGCAAAAAAUUUGAAGAAGAUUGCACAUACCAAUAGCAAGAAAAGCUCUCAAAACUUCUAGGUAAUUGGCUGCCUUUCUUUUUUGACUUGAACAUUGAUCUUUCAAUAUAAAUUUCUCCUUGUUGAACCAUUCAAUUCCUCUAUAAUUUAGAUUUUGUAUAGAUAUUCUAGUCUAAAUUGCUCUCACCAAUUUUUGCUUCAAUCGAAUUAGUAGAUAUUAUGAGAUCAUGAAAUCCUUUAUUGAUCCUAAAUCUCAAUUAUUCAAGACCAUAACCCACAAAAAUCCUCAUAUUCUUCAAUCUAAUUGAUCAAUUGACCUUAAAUUUUUCUCUUACAUUUAUAAUAAGGAUAACAACAAACUAUCCAAUUUUCAUUUAUAAACACACUAUAAAAUUCACAAAAUCCUAAAAUCUAUAAUCUUAUUUUUAUUUCUCAAAAUCUAAAUCCACAAAAAAUAUCAUUAACAUUUAAAAUCUCUCAAAAUCUCAAUAUUAAUCUAAAUGACAUAAAAAUAAUACUUAAAAAAUCUCUCUUAAAGUUUGCAUUCAAAAUCUAAUUUCUAUUUUAUAAAAAAACCUUAAAAUUACUAUAGAUAUAUAAUUUUAUGUCUUGGGAUUUGAUUUUGAUUCAAGUUUACUAUUGAUCCUCUCCAAAUAUCAAAUUUUAGUAAUUUGAGGUAAUUUUUGCUUUAACCUAUAUUUAAUUCUCUUCUAAAUAUGUCUAUAUCAAUUUCUUAUCUCAUUUACAUUGAUUUGGUUCAAAUAUGCUUCUAGAAAGUUAAUAAAAGACUCUUCUAUAAAUGAAAAUAUUAAGACUAAUUAUUUACUAUCUUUCUAUCAUUUAUUCUUAUUUUUUUAUUACAUCUUUCAAUUAGGUUCUCUUAUAAUAACAUCCAUAUUUUAAUUUUUUAUAUAAUUGUGUUAUUACAUGACAAUAUGAAGAACAAGGAAUAGAAAUGAGGGGGGUUGGGAUGAAGGAUGAGAACUAUAAGAAUGAAGGGAGUGGAGACUAAGAAUGAGGACGUGGAGGUGAGAGUUAUGAUUGUAAUGGUGGUUUCUAGAGAUGAUCUAUUUUUCUAAUCAUGGUUAUAAUAGGGUAGAUCAAUUUAAUAAAAAUGUGGAUCUAUUUAAUAUUUUUCUUUAUAUAUAUAUAUAUAUAUAUAUAUAUAUAUAUAUAAUCUUUAAUAAAUAAUAAGAUUACAUUGUUUAUUCUAAGAAACUCUUUAGGACUAGAAAUAUUUAUCUAUUUUUUAAAAAUAGAAUUAAUUAUAAUUAAAUCUAUUUAAUAAUUUAUUCUUUUUAUUAAUAUUUAAUAUAUUAUUCUAUUAAUUGUAGAAGGUGAUCAAAAUAAAAUAAGUAGGACUUAUGAUAAGUUUUAUUCAUUAAAAGAUUAUUUUUUAACAAUAAAAAAUAUUUAUUUCUGAAACAUUAUUUCUAUCUUGAAUAUUUUUUAAAAUUACAAAAUAUUAAUUCUUAUUAGAUAAUAAAAAAAAGUUAUAUCUAUAGCCAAAUUAGAUGAUUAUCAUAUUAGUAUAAAUUAUCUUUUUAAAGAGUGUAUAUAUAUAUAUAUAUAUAUAUAUAUAUAUAUAUUAUUUGAUAAUUCUCAUGUAGUAUUAUUUUUAUUAGCUAAAAAUUAGAACCUUAAAAACUUUACUUUUAAAUAAAAUAUCUUCUAUUCUAAAGAUUCAUAAGUCAGUAGUUUAAUAAAAAAAAAAAAAAAAAAAAAAAAAACAUGCACAAGGAUUACAUACAAUAAAACUUUUUGCAAUAAAAUUAUAAAUUCUGAUUUUUUUUUGUGAAAUUUUUUAUCAUUUAUUUAUUUUCUAAAUAUAAAUAAUCUAAAUGUAUAUCUAUUGAAGAAUAUAUAUAAGAAGAUUAAAGAAUUUUUGUAAGACUUUAAUGAAAGAUUUAUAAAAUAAAUUGUACUAUAUUUUUUUUUAAAGUAUUAAAGAGAUGGUUUUUUAAAAAAAAAUAUUCAAAAUAAAAAACAAAUAUAUAAAAAAGAAAUAUUUAAAAUAGAAAUUAGUUUAUACUCUGAUUUUUUUAUUCAAAAAUCUUUCAAUCCAAAUAAUGUAGAAAAGAAGUUUUUUAUAUUAUAUUAAAAGAUUUUUGGUUGAUUUCAUCUUACGAUAGUUAGUUAAAUACUGAUUAGUGGUUAUAUUUUGUAAACUAUUAUCAAAGUUUUUUUACGGUUCUUUGAAAAAGAAGUGACAAGAAAAUCUUAAGAAAUUUAAAACUAAUGACCUUGAUAAAUACAACUUAAAAAAUAAUUAUAUUAAAUUUUAUUUAUAUUAUAUUAAUGUAAUAUAAAAAAUAGAAUUUCAACAAAUUUUAUAUAAAAAUUCUUCAAUUAUAAAAUAAUUAAAUUAAUAUAUUAAAAAAUUAUAUACUAAAAUUAUUUUAAAAGGCUAAAUUAAUACUUAUAAAGAUAAUUUAUUCUAACCUAAACAUCUACUUCUUUAUAAAGGUUUACUUUUGAUGGUAUUCUUUUUAUAUAAAAAAUCAUCUUUUGAAUUAGUAUCUAAAAUAAUUUCUUUCAUUAUUUGAAAAACAUAUUAAACUUAAGCAUCUCUAUACAAUAAUAGUGGUCAAAGAUGUGAAAUUUCUAAAUUUAUUUAGCAAUAUUUUUAAGAUUUAGUACCUUUUUCUUAUAAAAAAAAGUAAAAAAAAAUUUACAAUUUAUACUAUAGAAUUUGUAAAUAUGCAGCCAAAUUUGAUUGUGGUAUAAAUACGAAUUGAUGUAGAUUAAAGAAUAAUGUAGAAGAUGUGAGGUCACCUAAUUCACUUAGCAAUAAUUCCAAGUUUAAAUAUAAACUUAUAUUUUAGAAAGUCUAAGAUGUUAGGUUGCUCAAUUCAUUUGACAAUAAUUUCAAGCUUAAGAACUUUGUUAUAUUAAGAUUUUUUAUUAACGUUGAUUAUGAUUUUAUUUUUUUUAAUUAAUUAAAUUAAGUCUUUUUAAAAAAAUUAUAUUCUCGAUUUUAUUUGAUAACACAAUGAAGUUUAGAUAUCUUAUUAAAUCAAAUUUUAAUAGUAUAGAAAUUUUAAAGAAUAAGUUUAGAAAUUUUUCUAUAAAAGAAUAAUUUUUCAAUUUCAAGACAUUUAAGUUCUUAAAUUAUUUCUAAACAUCUUUUUUGCAUCACAUGGACAAUGCCUUAUCUAUUAUUGCCUCUUCAAAGUUGUGUAUACAUGAUAUGUCUAGUAGAAAAUAUUUUAAUUUAAGAUUUUUUUAUUAAUAAAAAAAUAUUCUUAAUAUAUUUUUAAAUAUUUUAUGUAGAAAUAAUAAUAUUAAAACUUAAAAAUUAAAGUGAUACAAUAGUAGUAUGCUUAAUAUUAAUAUAUAAAUUUAAUUUUAAUAUAAUAUUAAAAUUAUGAAAUAACAACUUUACAAUAUCAUAUAUCUAAAAAAAACAUACUAAUAUUUAGAUGAUAUAAAAAGAAUCUAAUCUUAAAUUUUUAAGUUAUUUCUAUUAUUAAUAAUUUUAUAUAUGAUAUUUAGAUAAUAAUUAAGUAAAUUACUUAAUUUGAUAAUCUAAGAAAUGAAUAUAUAUUCAAGUUCUACAUUUGUAAGUAUUUAUAUUCUAUUUCAUUUUCAAUAAGCUUUCUAUCUAUGUCUUCUAGUUGAUCAUGUGAUCUUAAAAUUUCAUUUUUUUUUCUUUUACCUAGGAUUGGUAUUUCAAUUAAUCUAACAUAAAUUCCAUAUUUUUUUUCAAUGUAUCUUUUUUACCACUGCCCCAUAUUUGCAAUGCUUUUUCUUAGGAUAUGCCUUCUAGAUUCAUAUCAUUAAAAAAGAAACAAUUUGUUUUCAAAAAUAUAUUCUUUUCUUUUAUUUUUAAAUUAUUAAAGCUUAUUUUUAAUAUAUUCUAAAUCUUAAAGAUACACACACACACACACACACACACUUACAUAUAUAUAUAUAUAUAUAUAUAUCUGCAUCCAAAUAUCUAAAUUUUUUUUAAUCUUUAUAAAGCUUAUUUUUUAUAUCUCAAAUUUGUUUUUAUUUUUUCUUUUAAAAAUGCUCUUAUAACUUUUAGACUCAAUGGUAGGCUAUUGUAAGUUCUUAUAAUUUUUUUACCAACCUUAACAAGUUUAUGACACAUAAAUUUUUGGAACCCAAAAAAAUAAGUUAUAAAUAGCUUCAAACUUAUAUCUUUAUCUAAUUCCUUAAGAUUUGUUUUUUAUUUUUUUCCACUAAAAUAAUUUAUUGCUCAUAAAUCUUAAAUUGUAAUUAAUGUGCUACCAUUACUAAUAGAAAUAGCAUCUACAAAAAGAAUUUUUUAAAUUUGACUUUGAUUCUUCACAUUAACAAAGACUGAAAUAAUUUUGUUUGUAUUUAAGAUUUUAAUUUUAAUUUUUUAAUUUUUUUAACUUUCUUUAAAUUCUUUUCUUUUGAUUUUGACUUUAAAUUAUAUAAAUAUAUUGAAAAAAACUUUUUAGCCAUUAUUUAUUGAAGAAAAAGUACUUUGAAGUUACAACACUUAGCAUUAGCAAGGUUGCACACAAAAGGGAGUAUGGAGUAAGAUAACUCUUACUUCAUACACUUGUUACUUAUAGGUGGUGAUUGCCAACCAACAAGGCAACUUUCAUCAACAUUACAUCCAUUUCUACUUCAUUCAAGUAAACCCUUGAUUCUUUCUUGACCUAGCCGCCACCUACAAACCUUAGCCAACAUCUACAAAUCCUAGAAGCCACCUUAAUAACUUUGUUAUACUCUUUGCUACCUUUUGAUCACUAACAACUUAUCUAAGGUAAUACCUUUUACUAAGUGACUUACUUCAACACUCCCACUUUUCUAUUGGUCAAAGGGCUUUCAAUCCUAAUGCCUUUGUUAAUAUGUGGUGUCUAUCCUUUACUAAUGUCUUUGUCAACAAAUCAGCAAGUAUGUCUUCUUUUGCACAUUAUUUCAUAUCAAUCACUCCCAUUUCAAUCUUCUCUCUUAUGAAGUGAUGUUGAAUGUGAAUAUGUUUUGUCCUUGAAUGAUGCUUGGGAUUCUUUGCAAUUGUAAGACAUUGUUGAUUGUUAUACUCCAUUAGAGUUGCUUCUAUUUGCAUAUCUCCAAUGUCCUCCAAAAGUUGUCUUAGCCAUAUUGCCCAAGGCUUGUUGUCAUGUACUCUACUUCCAUUGUUGACCUUGCAAUUGUUGGUUGUCUCUUGAAUUCCAUGAUAUAGCUCUCACUCCAACAAAGAACACAUAUCCCAUUGUUGAUCUUCUAUCAUUUGCAUCUCCAACCCAAUCCGCAUCACAAUAACCAUGCAAAAUAAUGUUAUCACCUCCAAGGCAUAAUUUGAAAUUCAAAGUGCCUUUUAAGUACCUCAUGAUUCUUUUGAUGGUUGCCCAAUGGAUUGGUCCAGCCUUUGUCAUGUGUUGGCUCACAACACUCACUGCAUAUGCAAGAUCCACCCUUAAGCCAACCAUUGCAUACAUUAGUGAACCCAUUGCUGCCUUGUAUGGAAUUCUUUGCAUUUGACCUUCAACUUUAGCAAAUUCUUCAUCCAUUGUCGUAUUACGUGCUAUCUUGCUUGAGAACGCACCGAGCGUCUAGCUGUGGAAGAUAAAACAAUGUUUUGCAAGUACUCGGGUAAGCUAGUAGGUUUCAACCAUCUAAAUACAAAUAUUUUGGAUUUCAAUGUAAAAGCUUAAUCCCAAUACAAACAGCUUAGAAAUACUAUUUUUAAUAACUUCAAGAUAUUAUAAGUACAAAGUCUUUUGUUAUUUGUUAGUUUUUAUUUUAUUUUAUUUUAUUAUUUUAUUAUUUUAUUUUAUUUUAUUUUAUUUUUAACUCUAACUCUAGACAACGAGCUUCAGUAAUCUGUAAUUCUCAAUCUGACUGUCCGAUUGUUGUAAAUUUCUACCACUAGUGUCUUUGCAAGCCUUCCAAAUGCUCAAGAAGUUUCAAUCCAAUCUAACUUACAAGUUGCAAGAAAACACCAUUAACCCACACUAAUGUAUCUUGAUCGCCGCCUAGAAGUCUUCGACUUACCACGCCAAAAGUCACCUUAUUCCAACUGGUAGAUCUCCAAAUAUUACAGAAAUCCUAAACAACCUCAAUCUGCUAACUUCCGAUACCUCUUUACACUAAUGGUCAAAUAUCCUCUACCUAUUCCAUCAGAUUAGCACAACUUUUUGCAUGCACUCGGCAUACUCAACCCUCUAGACACCUCUAAAUUUCAACCGCAAAGGUUUUUCCAAUUUCACAAAACAGUCAAGAAUAUCAGCCUUAACUUUAUUGCAAAAAACCCAAUUCACCAAUACAAACACUGACUUUCAACAACGAUUGCAAAAGUCCUCCCAAACCCGAUGAACCCAAUUCUGUUGAAUUAUGCAAUUCGAAAAAAUAGGACACAUUUGCCACUGCAAUGAAA
rnacentral:lncRNA from 1 species